rnacentral:tRNA from 1 species
CCUCCAUAGUUCAGUCGGUAGAACGGCGGACUGUUAAUCCGUAUGUCGCUGGUUCGAGUCCAGCUGGAGGUU